GGGGGGGGGGGGGGGGGGGGGGAGGGCGGGCAAGUCGAGGGGAUGAGGGGGGCGUGCGCCUGGAUUCAGCGGGGGGCGGGUGAGUAAUGCCUAGGAAGCUGCCUGGUAGUGGGGGAGAACGUCCGGGAACGGGCGCUAAUACCGCAUACGUCCUGAGGGAGACAGUGGGGGAUCUUCGGACCUCACGCUAUCAGAUGAGCCUAGGUCGGAUUAGCUAGUUGGUGGGGUAAAGGCCUACCAAGGCGACGAUCCGUAACUGGUCUGAGAGGAUGAUCAGUCACACUGGAACUGAGACACGGUCCAGACUCCUACGGGAGGCAGCAGUGGGGAAUAUUGGACAAUGGGCGAAAGCCUGAUCCAGCCAUGCCGCGUGUGUGAAGAAGGUCUUCGGAUUGUAAAGCACUUUAAGUUGGGAGGAAGGGCAGUAAGUUAAUACCUUGCUGUUGUGACGUUACCAACAGAAUAAGCACCGGCUAACUUCGUG
rnacentral:rRNA from 1 species